UAGGAGAUGAUAGUAAAAAUACCUAAUGCUCUGUUUUUAUACCUCAUACUAGGUAGCCAAUCUGAAUUCUAAGGACCUCUCAUAUACCUUAAAGGAUUAUGUUUUUAAAGAGCUUCAAAGAGACUGGCCUGGAUACAGUGAAAUAGACAGACGGUCAUUGGAGUCAGUGCUCUCUAGAAAACUAAAUCCGUCUCAGAAUGCUGCAGGCACCAGCCGUUCAGAAUCUCCUGUAUGUUCUAGUAGAGACGCUGUAUCUUCUCCUCAGGUAUGUCAUAAACAUAGAAUUAUAGACCUGACAUAGAUAUUAGGGGCCUCUAAUCAGGUCCUCUGAUGUAUAAGUGAAGGAAAUGAGACCCGGAGAAGCUGGACAGCUUGCCUGCCCAAAGCCAUCUGGUUAUGGCUGAGCUUAGCCUAGAAUUUAGGUCUUGGCUUCCAGCCCAGAACUUUCUCCACUACACAGCACUGCUUGUCAGAGUACUUAAUGUCUACCUUGCUUUCCAUUUUUAAAGUUUACAUUUUGUUGUAAGAUUAUCUACUUUCCAAUUUGGUCACUAACUAGAAGACUUACCCAGUCCCAAACAAUUAUCAGAUUAUAUGGAAAAUUGAAGAUACUUAAUUUUGUCUGUCAACAUGUUCCAGAAGAAUAUUUUUUGGGGAAAAUGGAUUUACAAUCAACAAAUAAACAAAAAUGAUGGCAUGUUUCCAUGUUUUCUUUUUAAUUGGAUCCUUA
rnacentral:lncRNA from 10 species